GGUUGUAGCUCAGAGGUAGAACACAUGCCUAACAUGCCUGAGGCCCUGGCUUCAAUCCCCAGCACCA
rnacentral:tRNA from 1 species